AUGUUUGAAGUCCAACUAAAAAUGAAGUACGGAGCAGAGUCCAAAGAUACAGCAUUGUUCACUUCCAGCUAUAGUUACGGCUUUGACACGCGGUGUUCCACCAUUCUGAUCUACAGCCGUUGUUGUAUGGCAGAGUUAAGCCUUGAGGGGCUUACUAAAGCAAUCCAGGCCACCAUUGUUGGUGUUCGCCUUGUCAAAGGAAAGUGGCCUUGUAAGUAUGGAUGCCGAGUUUCUUGCUCCUUGUCUCCCCUAGUAGAGGAGGCUACUGAGUCCACGCCUAUGGAAGUUGUGUUGCUUGAAUCUCGCGGCAAAGAAAUGCCUGCACGUUCAGAUGGUUACAUACAUUUAUCAAGGAAUGUGGUUUCGGUGGAUAUACAUAGUACAUUGAAAGUUUGCAUACAAGCUUACUCGAAUGCUGGUCCCACUCCUCUACAGGGUCAUGUGAACUUUCCUGUACAUGAAUGCCAAGUAAGCAAGCGGAAAUGCUCACUUGGCAACUCUAGGGUGGUGGAGAUCAUUGUUGCUUGGUCCCUCCUUCCCAUGGACGAGCUUGGCUAG
rnacentral:rRNA from 1 species